GCAGCAGCUGCUCCAGGAGGAGGGGCUGAGGGAGCGAUCUGGACAGGGGGGGACAGGCCCACGGAGAGGGGGGACGCAUGCGGGGGGAGGGGGCACAGUAGAGACCCAGCGAGGGACAGACACCCAGAGGGAGAGGGACAGAGACCCAGGGCCGCAGCUGAGGCCACAGCCACAAAGGACCUAUGGGCUGGGGGAUCCGGCGACCCACAGGCUGGGGGGGCAGGGGCGCCCGGCCAUCGGGAGAGCCAGAACAAAGGGCCCAGGCGUCCCCUCCCCCAGCUUCCCACAACCCCCAUCAGAGGAGGGGCCGGCCGGCCAGGGCGCCUCCCCUCCGGCCCCCGGCCCCGCCCUCUCCCUGCGCCGUGGGCUCCGGUCCAGCGCAAGUUCCCAGUGACUUUCCGGAGGCCGGGAACAGGGAAAACUUUUUCCAACACAGUGAAAUCCCGCCUCCCUGGAGGCUCCCAGGUCUUCCACAGCUUUCCCAGGACCUCAGAGUCCAGGACCCCAGACCCCUCCUCCCUGGGACCCUGGACCCCGGGCCCAGGCAGACAAAGACCCCAGGCCGAACCUGGUGGCGCUGCGGCGUUCAGGACCCCCGUAGGCCAAAAUCCCAGCCCAGCCCUCCUCCCCCGUGUGGCCAGACAAAGGGACGGAGGAGCGGGAGUCCAGAGGCCCCGGCCAGGAGUCUGCCGGGGAUCGCAGGGGCGCAGAUGCCCGCAUCCCCGCGCACGGAGUGAACCACAGGUGGCGGCUGUCCCAAGGCCAGGAGAGACCCCCCGCGCCCGGGACGGGGAGGGGAGCAGACCCGGACUGCCGGCCCUCGGAGACAAAGGCUCGGUGUCCACGCUCGCACAGGAGGGGUCUGGGGUCCGGAGCCCGGGGUUUGGGGAAGAGGAGGGAGCCCGGAUGCCGCGUUCCUUCACGGGACUGGAUUUGGGGUUUCCGAAGAGAGCCGAGUUUUUUAAGAGAAACUCAGAAGGGACUCGCAGCGAGCGAACCAGGACCGCUCGGACUUCCCCAAGCUCGGCGUUUCCGGAGCGGAGGGAGCGUCCGGGAGCUCCGCGGACCCGAGCGAGGGCACGGGGGCGUGGCCCAGGUGCGGGGGCGUGGCCACAAGGCGGGGGCGUGGCCGUCGGCGCCCUGAUCCGCGCACGCAGGCAGAACUCGCCUGGGCCAGUGGUCACUGCGCCGCUGGGUUUCAUUUUUUCCAGCAACUCAUUUAAUUGUGCUUUCUCGCACGUCUUGAUCCAUAACGGCUUUGAAAUUUAAAAUAAUUAAAUCGAUGGGGCGCCGGCCAUCUUCUAAGAGCAGCCUGGCGCUCGGCGCUCGCUUGUCACAUCCCUCGGGGGACACCUCGCCGUGGGGGGCGUCACUGGCUUCGCUGGGAGACCCGGGGCUUUCUGAGGAACCCCACUUACCCGUCCCAAACUGGAGUGCCUGGGUUCGAGUCAGGCUUCUGCUUCCCGUCCAUCGAGUUUCCUGCUGAAGCUCACGCUGGGAGGCAGCCAGCGAUGACCCAAGUGCCUGGGUCCCUGCCACCCACGUCGGAAACCCGAGUGGAGUUUCAGCCUCCUGGCUUCGACCUGGCCCAGCCCUGGCUGUUGCGUAGACUGGGGAGUGAACCAGCUGUCUGUCUUUCCACCUUUCAAAUAAAUAAAAAUUAAUUUUUUUAAGAUUUUAUUUU
rnacentral:lncRNA from 1 species